AAGCAUCUUCAUCAACCAGUGAAAAGUCAGUCACUCGAGAAGAAAUUACUACAUUUCAGCUUGAACCAUGAAGCUUCUCCAUAAACUUUUUAAGCUGCUGUUCUGCUGGGCGCUGACUGGCACCAGUUUUGUUGGAGCUAGUUUUGAAGGACACUUAAUAAUCUACGGGGGUCGCAACGCGGCUAGGCCUACCACAGGAGCCCUUAUUACCGGUAACGGCGGCAACAAUCCACCUCCUCCCAUAGUUUUCGGUGCUAGGCCUAAACCAAGGCCUAGGCCUAGACCGAAUUGCAGACCUUGGCAGUUCCGCUGCCGAGGAUAAGUUGAGCCUCGCUGACGCCUGUUUUGACGUAGAAUCACCACAACGAACUUUCAGUUGAAAAUCUUCAUGAAUAACAUCGAAUUACUCUGUUAUUCAUCUUGUGAUGAAUUGCAGUCCUUCAGAAUAGUGUCUUUCGAUGAAUACUGAGACUCUCUGACGCCUGGUUUGACUGAGAAUCACUACAAUUAAAUUUAAACGAGAUAUCUUUGUGUAUAUUGACGAAUGACUGUUAUCCACCUUUUAUUCCAAAUGGUUUCCUGUGAUAUUUUCCCCCAUUUAAUUGGGAGCAAUGAUAUGUACUACAGCAUGAUGUGAUGACACUUUUAAAUAAUAUUCAUUUCCACCGAUAUAAGUCUUUUCAUUCCUCUCCACUUUAGUCUCUUAUUUAAAUACGACCACUCGGCAACUCAGAUCGCAUAAAAAAAAAAUCCUGUAUUGUGGACGUCACGGGGUUCACGAUGCUUAUAAGCAGCCAAGAGUGGAUGAGCGACCUCAGUAAGCAUCAGUAAGCAUCUCCGACCAGUGAGGUCAUUCAGAAGAAGGCAGGUUUCCCUCCCCCCAACGGUUACUUUCAACGAUGAAGCUUCUUCAUCAACUUUUCAAGUUGUUGAUCUGCUUAAGGCUGAUUGGCGGCACCAGUUUCGUGAGAGCUGCCGACCCUACCAUCAUAGGAGGAAGCAACGCUUUUAGACCGAGUACAGGAGCCCUUAUUACCGGUAACGGCGGCAACAAUCCACCUCCUCCCAUAGUUUUCGGUGUUAGGCCUAAACCAAGGCCUAGGCCUAGACCGAAUUGCAGACCUUGGCAGUUCCGCUGCGAGGAUAAGUUGAGGCUCUCUGGCGCCUGGUUUUGACGGAGAAUCACUUCAACGAACUUUCAGGUGAAAAUCUUCAUGAAUAACAUCGAAUUACUCUGUUAUUCAUCUUGUGAUGAAUUGCAGUCCUUCAGAAUAGUGUCUUUCGAUGAAUACUGAAACUCUCUGACGCCUGGUUUGACUGAGAAUCACUACAAUUAAAUUUAAACGAGAUAUCUUUGUGUAAUAUUGAUGAAUGACUGUUAUCCACCUUUUAUUUCCAAAUGGUUUUUCUGUGAUAUUUUCCCCCAUUUAAUUGGGAGCAAUGAUAUGUACUACAGCAUGAUGUAAUGACACUUUUAAAUAAUAUUUAUUUCAACCGAGCCAAGUCUUUUCAUUCCUCUCCACUGUAGUCUCUUAUUCAAAUACCGACCAUACGGCGAGACAAAAAAUUCCUGGUUGUGACGUCACGGGGUUCACGAUGCUUAUAAGCAGCCAAGAGUGGAUGGGCGACCUCAGUAAGCAUCUCCGACCAGUGAGGUCACUCAAGAAGAAGGCAGGUUUCCCUCCCCAACGGUUACUUUCAACGAUGAAGCUUCUUCAUCAACUUUUCAAGUUGUUGAUCUGCUUAAGGCUGAUUGGCGGCACCAGUUUUCGUGAGAGCUGCCGACCUUACCAUCAUAGGAGGAAGCAACGCUUUUAGACAGAGUA